UAGGGAAUCUUCGGCAAUGGACGAAAGUCUGACCGAGCAACGCCGCGUGAGUGAAGAAGGUUUUCGGAUCGUAAAACUCUGUUGUUAGAGAAGAACAAGGACGUUAGUAACUGAACGUCCCCUGACGGUAUCUAACCAGAAAGCCACGGCUAACUACGUGCCAGCAGCCGCGGUAAUACGUAGGUGGCAAGCGUUGUCCGGAUUUAUUGGGCGUAAAGCGAGCGCAGGCGGUUUCUUAAGUCUGAUGUGAAAGCCCCCGGCUCAACCGGGGAGGGUCAUUGGAAACUGGGAGACUUGAGUUCAGAAGAGGAGAGUGUAAUUCCAUGUGUAGCGGUGAAAUGCGUAGAUAUAUUGAGGAACACCAGUGGCGAAGGCGGCUCUCUGGUCUGUAACUGACGCUAAGGCUCGAAAGCGUGGGGAGCAAACAGG
rnacentral:rRNA from 1 species